rnacentral:SRP_RNA from 1 species
GGAGAUCCGUGGCGGACGGAUGCCCCGCUUACCCUGGUCAGAUCCGGAAGGAAGCAGCCAAAGCGGGUUUCAUUCGGGUCGUUGCGGGUCUCUCAU